UACGGAGGGGGCUAGCGUUGUUCGGAAUUACUGGGCGUAAAGCGCGCGUAGGCGGACCUGCAAGUCGGGGGUGAAAGCCCGAGGCUCAACCUCGGAACUGCCUUCGAUACUGCGGGUCUCGAGUCCGGGAGAGGUGAGUGGAAUUCCCAGUGUAGAGGUGAAAUUCGUAGAUAUUAGGAAGAACACCAGUGGCGAAGGCGGCUCACUGGCCCGGUACUGACGCUGAGGCGGGAAAGCGUGGGGAGCAAACAGG
rnacentral:rRNA from 1 species